UACGAAGGGGGCUAGCGUUGCUCGGAAUCACUGGGCGUAAAGGGUGCGUAGGCGGGUUUUUAAGUCAGGGGUGAAAUCCUGGAGCUCAACUCCAGAACUGCCCUUGAUACUGAGGAGCUCGAGUCCGGAAGAGGUGAGUGGAACUGCGAGUGUAGAGGUGAAAUUCGUAGAUAUUCGCAAGAACACCAGUGGCGAAGGCGGCUCACUGGUCCGGUACUGACGCUGAGGUGCGAAAGCGUGGGGAGCAAACAGG
rnacentral:rRNA from 1 species